UCCUGCCCAACAAAAGGUCUGUUCCUACACCACCCAGGGUGAGAGACAGCCAGGAGGGCACCAAGAGCUUCAUGUUCUGCUCCUGGUGCCCCACCUCUCCCCCUCAGUGUUGUCACAGGCAGAGGGAGGGACUAGCAGGGACUGUGCCUGAGAGCAGUGACAGAGGCCCAGGCAGGGCAGGUGUGGGCAGAGCUGGUGUGCAGGCACAGAGGAGCUGGAGAGAGGCCACUGAGAGCGGGCCUGGCCAUGUGGAGUGCCCUGUGCGUGGGCUUCUUGCCCAUUGUAGCAGUCAAUGGCCAGGUGCCUUGGAGCAGCUCCGCAGGGAAGUGUCCGUGCCAGAGGGACAUGAAUUCACCUUCCACUGCAGCAUGAAGGGAGGUGAUCUGGGGAAUUACUACAGGCACUGGUACCCUCAGGGCCCACAGGGCUCUCUGGAAUGGAUUUCCAUCGAGGGUGAUAAAUACGGAAAUGGUUUCCAAGAUCACUUUAAAGGAAUAUUGCAGAGUUCCAAGAACAGCUUCAUACUGCAGAUCCUGGCAGCAGAGCCAGGUGAUGCAGCAACGUAUUACUGUGGAGCAUGGACCCCCUGGAGCACUCUGCAGCAGAGUGAACCGAAAACCAGCAGACAGUGAAAACACAUCUCCCAGCAUUUUCUUCUGGCAGGUGCUCCCCAGGGCUCUUGUCAGGCAAUGGCAGGUGCAGGAAACGUCCCUCUGGCUGGGUGGCACUAAAAGGCACUGCAGGGAGGGCUGCUGGAAGGGAUGGUGCCAGUGAUGGUGCAGGAGGAUCUGUCCUGGGAACUGCAGAGGCUGCAGUUUGGGGAAGUGCAGGUGUAGUGCACGUUACCUGGGCUCCUGUCCAGCACAGCCUCAUUUCUCCUCAGUGCCUUGGCUCCCAGCUCUUUCUCCUCAGGGACAAUCAGCAUGGCUUUGGGAAGUGGGAAUUGGGGUUAGCCACACUGACAGCCUUGGACAGUAAGACCAAGGGUCUUGCUGGGUGAGGAGUGAGUGGAUGUUGUGCAUUCUUCAUUCAAUUGUGCUCCCAGCACUGACUUCCCUGGAAAACUUCUGCACAAAUCCUUUUAUUAUGGCCUAGAGAAGGGCUCAGUGAUAUGGAUUGUGCAAGGGUACAGAUUCCUCCUCCCAGCCUCUCCUUCUGGCCAGUGGGAAAUGAAAUUGCUGAAGGCUGAUCUGGCUGCUGAAGCCUGAGAUGAAUAAAGCAUUCAGGGCCUCAGCCCUGUCCCAUAUCCUCUGUCACCUGGUCCCCAUCCCAUUCAGCACUGGGCCCACCUUUUCCCCGCCUCGUUUGUCCAUGCAGCCUCCUGGCAUGUUGGCCUGAAUCCUUGCUGACUGGGGAGGAACCCUCUUCAGUCCAGCACUGCUGGGACUGGGGACUGCUGUGUCCCCUGCUGGGCUCCCAAGGCUGGGAAGGACAUGGACAGAGGGGAACAAAUGCAAUGAAGGGCCAUGAACAAUAGGGAGGGAACAGCUGACAUAUAAGGGGAGCCUGAGAGAUCUGGGUGCAUUUAGUACAGAGAAGAAAUUGCUGACAGCGGAAUUUGUCACACGAAUCCCUUGCAGUCCUCCAGCACUGGCCUUUGGUUUCUGCAAGGGAGAAAGAAAGAGAUUCUGCUCAUCAUUUCCCAAUUGAAUUUCCUCCCAUCUACUCUGCCCAGGAUUGCAGCCCCCAAUAACAAGCUGUGACCAGCCACGGACUUGUCAAACUCCAGGAAGCAGCCAAUAGACCGGUGAAAUGAGAAUGCUUGUUCUUCCCCCUCUUUCUAAAGCCACGUGUUUAGGCAAAUUAUUGAAAAGUAACUUCUCUUAGUAAUAUUGCUCUAAGUGUCCUCCUGUGGCAAGGAACUUACAGGCAACAAAAUGGAAAAAAAUUACCUGAGAGAAAGAAGUGGAAAAAUCAUAACUUUCAACAACUGAAGUUGAAAACAUCCCUGAUUAUUGCAGGAGGAUUAGGAAAAUGCUCCACAAUUGCAGGCUACCACUAAUUUUAUGACUAAGAUAACAAUCAAGUUGAAAGCCAACUUCAAUCAACUAUAACAACAGCAAAUAGAGUCAAACAAAGCACCAUCAGCUGAACCAAAAGAAAUCCUGAACAAUUCUGAAACAUGGACUGAUCUUUCCUCUGGCAUGCAAAUAGGCUUUGAGGAGAGUACUGCUAGAAGGUCUAGAAGGCUUAGAAAAUAUAGGAUGAAAAUAACUUGAGAAUUUACAAGCUUGACAGAUGAUUCCCAGAAAACCUUUUAAGUAUUUAACCCUAACUCUCUUGUUGUGUGUUAAAAGACAAACUGGAAACCAGAUCCUUUCUGUGAGGUACUUCCAACAACAAUAUUCCUUUCCAAAGUGUGAGAGCAAUUUUUAAGUUAGAUGAACAAUAACUGUCCACCCUGCCAAAAAAAGCAAGGAUGAAAAUGUUAUUUCUAGUGUAGAGAAUCCUCUGGAACAGUGUUAGAUGUUCAGAAGUAGAGCAGUGUAGAGGGACAGGAAAACCAAAGGCAGCACUACAAA